rnacentral:rRNA from 1 species
GUCUUAACUGGGCGUUAAGUUGCAGGGUAUAGACCCGAAACCCGGUGAUCUAGCCAUGGGCAGGUUGAAGGUUGGGUAACACUAACUGGAGGACCGAACCGACUAAUGUUGAAAAAUUAGCGGAUGACUUGUGGCUGGGGGUGAAAGGCCAAUCAAACCGGGAGAUAGCUGGUUCUCCCCGAAAGCUAUUUAGGUAGCGCCUCGUGAAUUCAUCUCCGGGGGUAGAGCACUGUUUCGGCAAGGGGGUCAUCCCGACUUACCAACCCGAUGCAAACUGCGAAUACCGGAGAAUGUUAUCACGGGAGACACACGGCGGGUGCUAACGUCCGUCGUGAAGAGGGAAACAACCCAGACCGCCAGCUAAGGUCCCAAAGUCAUGGUUAAGUGGGAAACGAUGUGGGAAGGCCCAGACAGCCAGGAUGUUGGCUUAGAAGCAGCCAUCAUUUAAAGAAAGCGUAAUAGCUCACUGGUCGAGUCGGCCUGCGCGGAAGAUGUAACGGGGCUAAACCAUGCACCGAAGCUGCGGCAGCGACACUAUGUGUUGUUGGGUAGGGGAGCGUUCUGUAAGCCUGUGAAGGUGGCCUGUGAGGGUUGCUGGAGGUAUCAGAAGUGCGAAUGCUGACAUAAGUAACGAUAAAGCGGGUGAAAAGCCCGCUCGCCGGAAGACCAAGGGUUCCUGUCCAACGUUAAUCGGGGCAGGGUGAGUCGACCCCUAAGGCGAGGCCGAAAGGCGUAGUCGAUGGGAAACAGGUUAAUAUUCCUGUACUUGGUGUUACUGCGAAGGGGGGACGGAGAAGGCUAUGUUGGCCGGGCGACGGUUGUCCCGGUUUAAGCGUGUAGGCUGGUUUUCCAGGCAAAUCCGGAAAACCAAGGCUGAGGCGUGAUGACGAGGCACUACGGUGCUGAAGCGACAAAUGCCCUGCUUCCAGGAAAAGCCUCUAAGCAUCAGGUAACAUCAAAUCGUACCCCAAACCGACACAGGUGGUCAGGUAGAGAAUACCAAGGCGCUUGAGAGAACUCGGGUGAAGGAACUAGGCAAAAUGGUGCCGUAACUUCGGGAGAAGGCACGCUGAUAUGUAGGUGAAGCGACUUGCUCGUGGAGCUGAAAUCAGUCGAAGAUACCAGCUGGCUGCAACUGUUUAUUAAAAACACAGCACUGUGCAAACACGAAAGUGGACGUAUACGGUGUGACGCCUGCCCGGUGCCGGAAG